UCGAACGCUUCUUUUUCCACCGGAGCUUGCUCCACCGGAAAAAGAAGAGUGGCGAACGGGUGAGUAACACGUGGGUAACCUGCCCAUCAGAAGGGGAUAACACUUGGAAACAGGUGCUAAUACCGUAUAACAAUCAAAACCGCAUGGUUUUGAUUUGAAAGGCGCUUUCGGGUGUCGCUGAUGGAUGGACCCGCGGUGCAUUAGCUAGUUGGUGAGGUAACGGCUCACCAAGGCCACGAUGCAUAGCCGACCUGAGAGGGUGAUCGGCCACAUUGGGACUGAGACACGGCCCAAACUCCUACGGGAGGCAGCAGUAGGGAAUCUUCGGCAAUGGACGAAAGUCUGACCGAGCAACGCCGCGUGAGUGAAGAAGGUUUUCGGAUCGUAAAACUCUGUUGUUAGAGAAGAACAAGGAUGAGAGUAACUGUUCAUCCCUUGACGGUAUCUAACCAGAAAGCCACGGCUAACUACGUGCCAGCAGCCGCGGUAAUACGUAGGUGGCAAGCGUUGUCCGGAUUUAUUGGGCGUAAAGCGAGCGCAGGCGGUUUCUUAAGUCUGAUGUGAAAGCCCCCGGCUCAACCGGGGAGGGUCAUUGGAAACUGGGAGACUUGAGUGCAGAAGAGGAGAGUGGAAUUCCAUGUGUAGCGGUGAAAUGCGUAGAUAUAUGGAGGAACACCAGUGGCGAAGGCGGCUCUCUGGUCUGU
rnacentral:rRNA from 1 species